GCGGUCCUUUAUUAUCAGUUGGCUGCCAGCCAGGGCCACAGCCUGGCUCAGUACCGCUAUGCCAGGUGCCUACUACGAGACCCAGCCUCUUCGUGGAACCCUGAGCGGCAGAGGGCAGUGUCCUUGCUGAAGCAGGCUGCAGACUCAGGCUUGAGAGAGGCCCAAGCUUUCCUCGGGGUGCUUUUCACCAAGGAGCCCUACCUGGAUGAGCAGAGAGCUGUGAAAUAUCUUUGGCUUGCAGCCAACAAUGGGGACUCACAGAGCAGGUACCACCUUGGAAUUUGCUAUGAGAAAGGCCUUGGUGUGCAGAGGAAUCUGGGAGAGGCCUUGAGAUGUUACCAGCAGUCAGCCGCUCUGGGAAAUGAGGCCGCCCAGGAGAGGCUGCGAGCCCUCUUUUCCAUGGGGGCUGCAGCCCCGGGGCCCAGCGACCUGACAGUUACAGGACUGAAGUCUUUCUCCAGCCCCUCCCUCUGCAGCUUGAACACCCUGCUAGCAGGAACCUCACGCCUACCACAUGCCUCGAGCACAGGCAACCUUGGCCUCCUCUGCAGAAGUGGGCAUCUCGGAGCCAGCCUGGAAGCCUCCAGCAGGGCUAUUCCCCCACACCCCUACCCACUGGAAAGGAGUGUUGUAAGACUAGGUUUUGGCUAAGAAAUUCCAGCGGGAGUUCAGGUUCCCAAGCAAUUUCACGUACAUGGCUGGAAGAAGUUUCUUGCCCAAAUGCCUGGAUGUGUCUGCUUGACUUUCAGAACUUCUCACCUCAGCCCUAAAGAGGGAGCCUGUGGGUUCUCAGAGAGAUAUCACAAUUUGAGUCCCAAAGAAGAGGCCAGAUACCCACCCACCUUCCCCCAAAUCUUAAGCACCUGCGCCAGUACAGUCAAGAAGAGGAAAGUGUGUGAAGACCCAGGUCUGGCUCUGCCACUUGCCUGGCCAUGUCACCUUGAAGCUGUGACCUGACUCCCUAUAUUGUUUCCUCAGUUGUAGACCAAAGGCAAUGGUGUCUGCCCUCCUACCUUAGAAGACAAAUGCAAGGGCAUUUCACCACAGAGAGGACCUUUGUGCUCACUUUGGCCCAGGAGGCAGUGAUGCUCAUGGUUGCAUGACUUUAUGAGUCGCUGGGCCAGGGUGAGGACCUGGGCCUCCUGACUCCUGGCCCAGAGUUCUUGUCCAUCAGUUCAUACUGCAAUUUUAUGUGAAAGCAUUAUGACUGUCCUACCCAUGGGAGAGUAAAUGUAGAUUGAAUGCUAGGAGUCUUAAAGCUGGAGAGUAUAGAUUUUGAGGUCCCCAUUUGGGAAACAUGUGCCAGAAAUGUCUAGGUGUUUAAUAAAACAGAUAUUGGAUU
rnacentral:lncRNA from 10 species